UUUAUGCUCUUUUAAACAUUUAUAAAUGUGCUGCUUCUUUGUUUUUACAUAGCCAGCCAGAAUGGAGUUCACAGCCGCAGUGUGUCUGGUGACCCACGGGGACCAUGAUGAAAAUUCAUCUUCCAGAAGGUCCCAGAGCAGCGGCCACACCCCCUGAAAAGACCAAGAUGUGAGGUGUCUGCUGUUGAUUCCAGCUUCCACCUCAGUGACAGUGCAAGCUCAGUGAACUGUUCAAGGACACUCAGCAAAAUAUGGACUCUACACCAUGAGGCAGGCACACGUUAAUAACUCUAUAAGAGCACAUAAGGUGAGCAACACCACAUAUUGUACACUGUCCUGAAUUUGUUUUCUUUCUGCAUCUCAUUAGCCUGGCUGAUCACCUGAUAACUCCUGUCAUCUGGUUAUGACAGCAUGAGGAUGUCCUCACACACCUGUAACCUAUCAGCUCAUCUGGCAGAAUAGAGAGAGAAGAGACAACACCACAUCUCCUGUUCCUGGAAAGCCUUCAGCCAUCCUUCGAUGACUGAGAACCUCCAUCAGCUCUGUCUCCUGUCUGCCCACAAUUAUUAUAAUAAAUAUUGUGUUUGACAAGUUU